rnacentral:rRNA from 1 species
UACGUAGGUGGCAAGCGUUGUCCGGAUUUACUGGGCGUAAAGAGCGCGCAGGCGGUCGUUCAAGUCGCGUGUGAAAGCCCCCGGCUCAACUGGGGAGGGUCACGCGAUACUGAUCGACUCGAAGGCAGGAGAGGGAAGUGGAAUUCCCGGUGUAGUGGUGAAAUGCGUAGAUAUCGGGAGGAACCCCAGUGGCGAAGGCGACUUCCUGGCCUGUUCUUGACGCUGAGGCGCGAAAGCUAGGGGAGCAAACGGG